rnacentral:rRNA from 1 species
UACGUAGGGUGCGAGCGUUAAUCGGAAUUACUGGGCGUAAAGCGUGCGCAGGCGGUUUUGUAAGCCAGGUGUGAAAUCCCCGGGCUCAACCUGGGAAUGGCAUUUGGGACUGCAAGGCUGGAGUGCGGCAGAGGAGACUGGAAUUCCUGGUGUAGCAGUGAAAUGCGUAGAUAUCAGGAGGAACACCGAUGGCGAAGGCAGGUCUCUGGGCUGACACUGACGCUCAUGCACGAAAGCGUGGGGAGCGAAACAACGGAUUGAGAAA